GGCUGGGGUUGCGAGAGGCAUCAGGAUCCCUGGCGGCGCCUGAGCCAGCGGCUGCUAGGAGGCUGUGUCCGCAAGCCAGCGGGGCGAGGCGCCUGGGCCCUGCGCGUCAGGUCCCGGCCUGGGGCACCGGGGCUGCCAGCGUCGGAGGAGGUGCGGGCGCGGGGUUGGCGGGCGGCCGAACGGGGGCCUGCGCGGACCGCCCGCGGCUCAGCCUCCGGUCUCUCUCCGCCUGAGACCUGGGAGGAAGCUGGAGAAAAGAUGCCCUCUGAAUCUUUGUGUUUGGCUGCCCAGGCUCGCCUUGACACCGAAUGGUUGAAAACAGAUAUACAGCUGCAGAUGGUAGUGUCGAACCAAGUGGAACAAAGAAAGAAGAUCUGAAUGACAAAGAGAAAAAAAAUGAAGACGAAACUCCUGCACCUGUAUAUAGGGCCAAGUCAAUUCUGGAGACCUGGGUGUGGGUCAAGCAACCAGGUAAUCUGAGUUUUGGCACUUUGGAAAGCUUGAUCUGACGCUCCUUUUCUAAAUAACUUGGAUGGAUUAUUCGUAUUUUUUGGUAACAAUUUUAAAAAAUGUAAUUAAAAAAAUUUAAAUAUCGUGGUAAAAUAUACAUACCGUAAAACUUGCCAUUUUAAUCAUUUUUAUGUGUACA
rnacentral:lncRNA from 1 species